rnacentral:rRNA from 1 species
CCUACGGGUGGCAGCAGUGAGGAAUAUUGGUCAAUGGGCUUACGCCUGAACCAGCCAAGUCGCGUGAGGGAAGACUGCCCUAUGGGUUGUAAACCUCUUUUGUCAGGGAGCAACGCCGGCUACGUGUAGCCGGACUGAGAGUACCUGAAGAAAAAGCAUCGGCUAACUCCGUGCAAGCAGCCGCGGUAAUACGGAGGAUGCAAGCGGUAUCCGGAUGUAUUGGGUGUAAAGGGUGCGUAGGCGGAAUGCCGAGUCAGCGGUAAAAUCGCGGGGCUCAACCUCGCUCCGCCGUUGAAACUGGCGUUGUUGAGGGGGCGAGAAGUAUGGGGAAUGCGUGGUGUAGCGGUGAAAUGGAGAGAUAUCACGCAGAA